rnacentral:tRNA from 2 species
GGGUGCGUCGGAUAGCGGCUAUUCCACCUCUCUGUAAAAGAGGCGCUUUCGGGCUUCGCAGGUUCGAGUCCUGCCGCACCCA